AGCAGAGUCACCACCACCAACGACAGCAAGAGGCUUGUUACGAUAAAUGGGAACGGCACCAUCACAUACAGCACAAGCAGAUAUACCUGCUUGCCAAUAAGUAUCCUCACCAGUAAUGUGAAGGCGACGAGCGGAAGCACCAGUAGCCAAAAUAACGCUGUCAGCGGUAUGAGGCUCUUCCUCUUCAGCACCCUCCAACCAGUACUUGAAAGGGCGAGAAGAAAGAUCUAAUUUGGAAACAGUCUCGGUAAUAAUUUCAGUUCCAAAACGCAAAGAUUGAGCGCGGAAGUUUUCAGUAAGGGUAGUACCAUUGAUACCAUCGGGAAAACCAGGAAAGUUUUCGACAUCGGUGGUAGUAGUAAGCUGACCACCAGCAGCAAUACCGUUGGCAAGCAUACCUUCGUACAUUACGGGCUUAAGCUCACCACGGGCGAGAUAGAUGGCUGCAGUAUGGCCGGCGGGACCAGACCCAAUAAUAACAACCUUGUUGUGAGUCACUAAUGAAGUCAGUAAAAUUAAAAAAACAAAACAAAAAAAGAUAAACGUUAAUGUUGUAAGGCGAGAAGGAUAGAAAAGCUGAAAGAACACAAGAUAACCAUUAUCGAACAAUGAUAAAAAAACAGAUGAAACCCAAUCUUACACGUGAGUUCGGAAAUAAAAAAGUUUCCUACUAAUCAACAAAAAAAAAGAAAAAAAUUCAUCACCGAAUUAGUUUUAUUUUUAGGUAAUAAUUUUUUUUUUGUUGGGUUCGACUUCAUCGCCGUCACAUUUCCUGCACGUUUUUCGUUUCACUUACUAUUGAUAUGAGUAUUUGUAGAGAAAUAUGUUUGUUUUAAAGGGGAAUAAAUAGAUCCUAACUUCAAAGAUUUCUUAAAAGAAUCGGGUAUGCCUUUAUAGAAGCUAAAUUUCUGAUAAGGAAAGAAUGUCCUGAAGUAUCGAAGGAAUGCGAUAUGGUGGUAGUGGGUAAAUUGAUUCUUAUAUAGAGCCCUGGGAAAUGGUGUGCUUACUAGCGAUGAAUAAUGAGACUCGUUCGAGACAUUCGUAAAAGUGCGAACGCUUAGAUUAACAGUGGCAGAACGAGACACCGAUAUCGCGUAAGCAAAUUUAAUGCCAACAUGGUAGAAGAGGGUAUAGGAAUGUCGAGAAUUAGUGAGGCCACGAUAAAUGGACGAACCACCAAAGCCAUGAGUAAGCGACGCUUUGUACAUGAAAGACGACUGACCUAUGCUAGUACAAUAGAAAGAACUCGACAAGAAAAAUCCACGUUUUUGUUAGUUAAGAGUUUAAGCCUCCACAAUCCAAACAAAUUGUCAAAGAGACGCGCAGAAAGCAAAAUUCUCAAUGUAGCCGUGCUGGGCUACUUGCCUUACUAAGGUUUUAACCAAAAACAAGUAUGAUUCAAGUGCGAUUGGUGUAGCCUAGAAAAAACAAUUGCGAAAAGUAAUUUCAAGGAAACAAAUUUUAGUCGUUUACAACCCAAAAAAGAAAAAUUUGCUGUUCCUGCGAUCAACACUGCUUAAUAAUUUAUUUAUUAAGGUUACCAACGAGGAAAAAUGUUUUACGCUGAAUAUUGUGAUUUGAUAAAAGGUAUAACGAUAGAAUUUAUAAAUAAUAAAUUGGUUUAACGUUCAACGAAGAAAGUACGAAAAUUGGGUUUUGGCUGCUAUCAACAUUAUCGAGCUUUAAGGUAGCACGCAGCAUUGCUUUACAAUAGGCCAGUUUUAGAUGUGAACGGUACGAGGUCGGGAGGUCAUCGUUUUCUUGUAAUGGUACUCGAGAUGUUACUCACUUAAUUUUUCUGUUUUCUAAGUGCGUACUACAUAUUGUACUAAUAGAGUUUCAAUCGGCUACUAUCCUCUAACCCAUGUUCCAUAUUCAACAGCUGCUCUCUUUCUCGCUAAUCAUGGUUAGUGUAUUGCAUCUAGCCUACACCCCAAAAACACAGGUAGCAAAUAAGCUCACUCAUUUCUCGAUAUGGUGUAACGUCGAAUACCUGGCAAGAACCAG